rnacentral:lncRNA from 1 species
GGAAGAAAAACAACUAACUUUGCAACAAUCUGUUCAAAAAACAAUGAGAGUUACCAAAUGCCAGACACUGCUAAGUGCUGGGAACUUAGAUGUAACCAAAGACUUACAAGAUACUAGUCUUUAAGACAGGCUUUAAGAAAUUUUCAAGUGUAGGGUAAGGCCAUCUCCCUAGCAGGUAAAUACUGACAUGGUGAAGAUAUGUAUUGGGUGAUAUGAGAGCCCAUAGGAUAGACAUCUAGAGAAAGUUUAAUAGCAACACUAGGCUGGACUGAGUGGUGAAUGGGUUGAUAUAGCAAUUUAAUAAACGUGUUAUUGCCAAUUUAGGCAUUUUGCUCAUAGCUUAGGGCAAGUGAUAAAAAAUAGAGCUUAACAAAGGACUGUAUGUUUUAGUUUGACAGCAGUGUCUAAAUUACAGAUUAGAGAACUAAUGACCAGCCAUACUGAAGACAAUUAUCUGGAAAUGCCUUCCCUAAGUGCCAACAGAUAAUGAAAAUACAAUCAAUAGCUUUAAGUGACCUCAUGCAUCUUAAUGCCUUGCAAGCAACAUGUUUUUCUGACUUCCAAAUAUAAACAACCUAAGCAUUGUGCAGUAGCCAUGAGGGAUUAGGUAUCCAAGUGCACAUUGUAUUGGCUUUGUACAGCCCUUGGAGGGAGUAAUAGUUUCAGAGUCAUGAAAUAAAUCAUAAGUAGCUGUUCUGGUGCUCUCUAGAGGCAGAACUUGCUGAACUUAAAGACUGUUAAUGGUACAAGUGAAAAACCUCUCAGCCCUACACAGCAUCUUUAAGAAAGCUUUAAUUUUGGUUUUUCAGAGCAAUAUUCACAUGACAUCUUUAGGAUCUGGAAUCUUAUUACCAUUAGGUUGGAACUCUACCUAAACUAAAAAUAAGUGGUCUCUAUCAAGUUGAAAUUACUUUAAUAUUUUCAUACUAUUUAUUUAAAUACGGAGAACAUGUCUAACCAUUCAGGGCCAUUUAAUUAUCAAAUUAUUAAUGAUUCUUCCAUAAUAAACAAACAUAAACUGUCAUAUUUGUUGACUUAUAUUUCAUUCCGUGAAAUUCAAAUUUAAUUAAUUGAUAAAGCACAUUGUACUUUAUAGUAGUUUAUUCCUUAAGUGUUUGAAUUUACACUUUUUUCCUCCUGUAACAGAAUCUAUUCCCAAGGCAAUCAACAUUUUAAUGGAAUGAACUGAGGUUUGCAAUUGCUAAUGUUAUUCUCCCAUCCCAGUUUUUACUUGUUUCUUGUAAAAAAGGAGGUUUCUAAAUCUUGACUCUUGAUUGACAAUUAAUGGGCCAAGUUUCCCCUUAGCAAACACUUUUCACUACACACUAAUAUUAGUAUCUAAAUUAUAUUAAAAUCUCUGUAAUAUGGUAGCAAUUGACUUGAAAUUUGUGAUACUUCAACUUGUGCUAGGUUGUAGUUUUGCUUGUAUCACUCAUAAAGAAUUACUAAAAAUGCAAAGGGCAAAUUUGAAAUAACUAUAAGAAUAAACCUUUAAUGAACUUUUUAAUAUGAAAUACUCAAUUGUAAAUAACCAUUAUCUUUACUGAAUCAGGAGAUGUUUCAUUAACUGUUACCAGUUAUUUAGAGUUAUUUAUAUAUUACAGAAUUUUGAACUAAAGGUAAAGAUCAUCUAGCUGAAUUUCCUUUAUAUUAAAGAGGAGGAGAAAAUCUUAAUACUAAGUAUGUAUGAGCCUGGAGCAGCCAUGGAGCAAGUAGAGAGGGUCUCCUAGGUGAUACCAACUCAGGAAAGCAGAAUCAAGCAAUAAAGAGACAUUUUGGGCCUGAUGACAUCAUUUCAGCACCUGGAUCCAGCAAUGCCUGAAGAUGUGACUCCUAGACUUUUCAAUUACAUGAGCCAAAAUGGUUCCUUUGUGUCAAUAAAUUGCUCUGUGAUGCAUUUUAUAAUGUACAACCAAGAAUCUUAAUAUUUAUUAUUUUGCAUUAAAUAUCAGUUAAGUUUGAUAUAAAAAUCUCAGUAAAAUUCAUUAAUUUGAGAAUGUAUAUCAUAGUUAAGUUUGAAACCUACAUAAUUUUCAAUAUUUAUACCUUUUACUGCAAAAAUAAAAAUGAGUUUAUCCUUGCCCUAAAGCUGUAAAAUUAAACUCUGUACAAUUCUAGUUAUUUGAAAUAUAAAAUAAAAUUAUUGGCCAUUUCAUG